GACGUAGGGCGCGAGCGUUGUCCGGAUUUAUUGGGCGUAAAGAGCUCGUAGGCGGCUUGUCGCGUCGAAAUGUGAAAACCCACAGCUCAACCGUGGAACUGCCUCGGAUACUGGCGGCCUCGAGGGAGGUAGGGGCGUGCGGAACUGUGGGUGGAGCGGUGAAAUGCGUUGAUAUCCACAGGAACUCCGGUGGCGAAGGCGGCACGCUGGACCUCUUCUGACGCUGAGGCGCGAAAGCCAGGGGAGCAAACGGG
rnacentral:rRNA from 1 species